rnacentral:lncRNA from 10 species
CUUCUUCCUGGGCAGCCACUGCACACGUGAGCCUGAGGGUAGCUGUGUUCCAGCUUUGCACAGAAAGCAGGUUUGGGAGAAUGAAGCCAGAGGCCAAGGAGAGAAUGCGGAAUCCUGGAGUGUUGAAGGCCCUUGUUUUGAUUCCUCGCGUCCUCCAGUCCAUCCUCAUUUUCUGGAGAGGCAGCGUGACCUAACGACGAAAGCCUCCACAACUGGUUUCUGUCGGUGUGAGUCCCAAAUCUGCCACUGGCUGGCUGGGAAACCUUGGUUUGGACGGAAGCCCAAGCAUCACUGAGCAAAGUCAGUAUCCUCCUAUACCUUGCUACUUAUUCUAAGUGUGUUUCAUGGACCAGCAAAAUGGACCUCAUCUAGGAGCUUGUUGGAAAUGCAGAAUCUCAGCCCGACUUACGGAAUCAGAAUCUACAUGUCAACAAGAUCCCCAGGGGCUGUGUGUGCACAUCAAAGUGUGAGAGUUUUCUGCCCUAGUGCCACUGCUUUAAGAACUACAGCUUGGUCAUCUCUAGAA